UACGGAGGGUGCAAGCGUUGUCCGGAUUUAUUGGGUUUAAAGGGUGCGUAGGCGGCCCGUUAAGGUCAGUGGUGAAAGCCUCCAGCUACAACUGGAGAACUGCCAAUUGAUACUGACGGGCUUGAGUACAGACGAGGUUGGCGGAAUUGAUUGUGUAGCGGUGAAAUGCAUAGAUACAAUAAGAACACCGAUUGCGUAGGCAGCUAACGUAGGCUGUAACUGACGCUGAGGCACGAAAGCGUGGGGAGCGAACAGG
rnacentral:rRNA from 1 species